CGGGUGGGGGGGUGGGAGGGGCGUGCGGCUGAUUUUGAGAUCUAGAAGGAUGAGGCCACCGCUUAGAUGUGGGGUGGGGGAGGGCUAACGUGCGCCACAGAAUGGGCUGCGCACACCCUCACCCUGCCCUGCCCUGCCCUUGGGACAAAAACGGUCCACUUUCUGACUUUAGCCAUUAAUGGCUAUUGGGUAAUAAGAUGAUGAUGUCAUCCAUUCCAUCCUAUUGUGUGUAGUGUAGCUUUUAGAUAAGCCACCGACAACGCCUCCACCCCCGCCUACGCAUAGGGUGGCUCUGCUUUCACUUGCCUGCUUUGGCACGUAUUCCUUUUUUUUUUUUUUUUUUGAGUAUGGUGGCACUGGUCGUUGUAUUUGGAGUUUUUGACUGAGAUGGCAACGGGAGCAGGAGAAGUUU
rnacentral:misc_RNA from 1 species